rnacentral:rRNA from 1 species
GAGUUUGAUCAUGGCUCAGAACGAACGCUGGCGGCAUGCCUAACACAUGCAAGUCGAACGAUGCCCUUCGGGGCAUAGUGGCGCACGGGUGCGUAACGCGUGGGAAUCUGCCCUUGGGUACGGAACAACAGUUAGAAAUGACUGCUAAUACCGUAUGAUGUCUUCGGACCAAAGAUUUAUCGCCCAGGGAUGAGCCCGCGUUGGAUUAGGUAGUUGGUGGGGUAAAGGCCUACCAAGCCGACGAUCCAUAGCUGGUCUGAGAGGAUGAUCAGCCACACUGGGACUGAGACACGGCCCAGACUCCUACGGGAGGCAGCAGUGGGGAAUAUUGGGCAAUGGGCGCAAGCCUGAUCCAGCAAUGCCGCGUGAGUGAUGAAGGCCUUAGGGUUGUAAAGCUCUUUUACCCGGGAAGAUAAUGACUGUACCGGGAGAAUAAGCCCCGGCUAACUCCGUGCCAGCAGCCGCGGUAAUACG